rnacentral:lncRNA from 1 species
CUUUGCCUUAUCAUAACAUAUCUGAGCUCCAUUUGCAAGAAAAGAAAAAGAGAUAAUCUUUUAUAUGAUUUGGAUUAAUGUUGCUGGCAUGUGACCAGAAGGUCACGGGCUCAAGCCGUGGAAAAAAUGCAGGGUACGACUGCGUACAAUGGAUCCUUGUGGUCUGGCGUGCACCGGUCUGGGAGUUAUAAUACCCAUAUGAAAAUAACAAAAAGAAUUAUAAAUUGGACCAAGUUUAUCAU